rnacentral:rRNA from 1 species
GACGAACCGUGCAAACGUUGUUCGGAAUCACUGGGCUUAAAGGGCGCGUAGGCGGGCCGCCAAGUCAGGGGUGAAAUCUUUCAGCUUAACUGGAAAAGGGCCUUUGAUACUGGCGGUCUCGAGGGAGGUAGGGGCAUGCGGAACUUCCGGUGGAGCGGUGAAAUGCGUAGAUAUCGGAAGGAACGCCGGUGGCGAAGGCGGGUCUCUGGACAGUUCCUGACGCUGAGGCACGAAGGCCAGGGGAGCAAACGGG